GGCCAGGUGCUCUCACUGCUGCAGCAGACCCUGCCCCACUGCGAGCACAGAGCCACAGCACCAUGCCACCAGCCUCACCCAGGCGCUUCCCCAGGGCUUCCGCCUGCUUUCAGCAUGUCGCCUGGGCUCCAGCUGACACUUCCAAGUGAGGACUGCAGUGGAUCACAGUAAUUGAGCAGGUGCUACCCCUAAGCAGACCACAGACGAACCCAACCGCCUAUCUGCAGCUGAAAGGCUCAUGCACAUCCAGCUAAUGCUUCACGUGGCUGCUGCACACUGAGGAGAAAAAGCUACAAGAUACUCCAGACAUUGGUAGUCACGCUUUCUAAUAGCACAGCUGCAUCUACAGCUGAUCAGUCUGCCCUGGAGGGGACUAGCACCUGCUGACAGGUAUGCUCUGCAGACCUUUUCAAACUUCGCUUCUUCCUAAAAACAUGGUCAAAAUCAGGGAAAGCCCUGGCAGCUCUUGAUUCCUAUGUUGGUGUUCAUAUGACUGUCCCCACUUGCUGCCUGCCCUGCAUGCUUGCUGUCUCAGCAUUUCAACUGCAGCAGCAAAAUGAGGAGCUGAACAGACCUGCUACAAUCUAUAUGGCUGCUUUCAAGGAGCUGCCAGCAUCUGCUGCGGUGUAUUUGCAGCAUCAUUUAACAAAAAUAAGCCAAGAGAAUCUUCACCAAUCCAGGAAUUGGAGUGCCUGGAGCAGUGUGUCCAGGGGAUGUGCAGACUGACCUCCAGACCCUGAGAGCCUCCUGCCCGUGAAUGCUCCCCACUGCAUGUCCCCCACCAGCAUGCUAUUACCAGCCAGGAUCAUGACCCAAUGCAGACAAGAGUGCUUAGGGGAAUGCAAAGUGAGUCUGAGGCUAUACCGGCCUUCAGAAGGACAAAAGUUCAAUGUCUUGUGUAAGCUGGUCCUCCAGGUAACUGCAAUGAGUGGCAAGAGAGGAAAACAGGGAAAAAUAAUAAAUCAAUAAAUAAAGAGGACUAAAUUAAGUGGGAUAAAUAUCCUCUUCAAAAUGCCCAUCUCUUAUCGAGUAUGGCAUUGCUGAGCAGGUUUGAGCAGAUACCUUUGUUAAUCAAACACUUUUUGGCACCUAGCCUUGUUCUGUGCACUGGAUUAUUAUUAUUUUCUUAGCACAGAAAACAACAUUGACAAAUACACAGUUUAUUUCUAA